rnacentral:lncRNA from 1 species
AGCCGGCGGCACCAGGCGCCUUCAUCAUGGCGCCGGCGGCGGCUGGGGCGGCUGCAGCAGGCCAGAGAAAGUAGGCGCCCACGGCGCCCCCGAUGACCAUCGCCGCGGUCCCCACGGCACCGUCGCGCGUGGAGAGCUUUGCAGGCAGGUACGGUUUGGCCAACGAGAUGGUGGAGGCCAUGGCCGCUCCUGUAUGGUUCUUGACGUAGCCGAGACCGGUGACGAUGUCGCCUGUGCUCAUCUCGGUUAGCUUUGCGGGAAGGUACGGCUUGGCCAACGAGACUGUGGAGGCCAUGGCCGCUCCUGUAUGGUUCUUGACGUAGCCGAGACCCGCGACGAUGCCACCCGUGUUCAUCUCGGUUAGCUUUGAGGGGAGGUACGGCUUGGCCAGCGAGACGGUGGAGGCCACGGCGCUCGCCUGUUGCUUGACGAGGUCGAGACCGGAGAAGAGGAGGUCGCGGGUGCUCAUCUCGCCUGGUUUUCCUUUCCGAUUUGUGGUCGUUUGUGUGGACUUAUACCUCACUAAAUGGAUGAGACGACGCAAAGCGUGGAUUUAUAGCGACGAAGGUGAUCUAUACCUAGACAACGACGCGCGACGACCUUGACUACCAACAGUACUAUCGACAGCACUAACAUGUCACCAUAUGAAGAAGAAUCAAAAGAUUACAAAAGAGGCUAUAUAAAAAUCAUUCACCGCUGGUCCCUUUGUACCUACUCGGCUAAAGCACAGGAUGCCCAGGCGUGGUGCGGAAGGCAGUCACCUCGACCAACUCUACUUUCCAUGCCAUGAUAGACUGAUACACCCAUCUAAACAACCAAGUGUACGGAUUAUCUAUAAUUUAUUAAACCAACUCUACCGCACGACCCCAUUUCGUUCGUUCUUAGUUCGUUUAGAUUAAACGGACGAAUAGCUGAACCCGACGUGCAGUCCCAAAUGAACAAAUAUCUGAUUUUCGUCCAUUUUCAUUCUAUUCCGGGCCCAAACAUGCGUCGCGUUUGGAGUAAAACGGACAACGUGCGGACGGGCGGGACACGCGUCCUUGUCCUCCCCAUGGCCCGCCUGUCGGGACACUGGCACUUCAUUCAUUUCCAACGCCUCCAUCCGCCCUCCCCGCCCCACCUCGCCGUCGGAGCCGCCACUAUUUUUUCAGCCGCCUCCUCACUGCUCACCCCCCGGCCGUCCAUACCAAACCAAGUCUCGCCAUGGCCGCCACCACGCCCACGCUUUCGUAGGAAUUUUGGUCGUCUUUUGGAGAAGUUUUGGCCGUCGCCUUCGUAUCUGGUGCCAGAGGGGAUACGACCGCCGGGUGCUCUAUAGCGACCUGUAGCCGGCCGCCAAACGACCCUCCUGCAUCGAGGUGAUUUCCGCAGCCUAUUUGUCACCACGACCGCAAGGUUUCUAACACUUUGCCAACAAAGGUAUGGACAAUGGAGAUGAAUUUUUCUUCAACCACUUCUUUUGUUCAUCGGAUGAUGCGUCCUCGGAUGACGAAGAUCUUGUGGUGGUUGCACCGGUCGUUCACGACCACAUUGAAAGACAGCGGCCUCGCUACAGGCGGUCAGUCCUGGGCCGUGCUCCCAACCUGAACCACAUCAGAGAGAGAGAGGCGACGCCAUGCUCUAUGUCGAUUACUUUGAGAAUACCACACUCUUUGAACCGAAGAAAUUCCAUCGUUGUUUUCGUAUGGCAAGACAUAUGUACAGUCGUAUCCGAGAGAGAGUGAUUCGUCAUGACCCAUUCUUCGAGUGCAAAACGGAUGCCCUUGGCAAGCUUGGAUUCUUCUCUUAUUAGAAAUGCACCGCGGCCAUCCGCAUGCUUGCAUAAGGUAUUCCACGCGAUUUUGUGGAUGAGUACGUGCGCAUGAGUGAGUUCACAUGUCUGAUGUCAAUGUACAACUUCUGCAAUGCCGUGGUGGCAGUGUUUGGCCCUCAAUACUUGAGGCAGCCAAAUGCUGCUGAUACAAAAAGGCUGUUGGUAAUCAACGCCGAUAGAAGCUUUCCAGGCAUGCAUGGCAGCAAAGAUUGUAUGCACUAGGAGUGGAAGAACAGUCUAUUUGCUUGACAGGGCCAGUACAAGGGGCAUGUGAAAGCGUGCACUCUCAUAUUAGAAGUUGUGGCUUGACAAGAUCUUUGGAUAUGACAUUCUUUCUUCAGCAUGGCAGGUUCUCACAAUGAUAUCAACGUGCUGCAGCGUUCUCCAGUCUUCGCAAGGUUUGCACAAGGCCAUUCUCUACCUAGCAACUUUGAGGUCAAUAGCCACCACUACAACAAGGGAUACUACCUAGAUGCUGGUAUAUAUCCUAAGUGGUCAACUUUUGUGGAGACAAUCUCGAAACCCCAAUGUGAUAAGAGACAGAGAUUUUCCCAAAUGCAAGAGAGUGCUAGAAAGGAUGUGGAGCGUGCUUUUGGUGUGCUUCAAUCCCGAUGGGGUAUCGUUCGAAACCCUUCACUGAACAUGGAUGAAGGGAAGCAUUGGAGGUGAUGACUACUUGUGUGAUCAUGCACAACAUGAUCAUCAAGGACGAGCGUGAUAACAACAUCUUCGACCAAGGAUUUGAUUUUUGAGGUGAAAAUGUUGAGCCCCUGCAGCAAGAACCGGCCACAUUUGAACAGUUUACCCAAUUCCAUCGUGAAAUGCGUGAUUGCACACUCAUUUGGAGCUUUAAAAUGACUUCGUUCAGCACAUGUGGAAUCACAUUGGCAACCAAUAGAUGUAUUGGUUUAUUAUGUUUAUUCAAGACAAUUUCAAUUUGGUUGUAAAACCAUUUUAUUCGAGACAAUUUUGAUUGGGUUGUAAAACUAUUUUUAUUUGAAACAAUUAAAAUUUGGACGUGCAAACAUUGAUGAAUAUGAAUAUAUGGGCAUAUUGGUCGUGGCGGACAGGAUGCGACCAAAGGAUGCGUCCGCAUGUUGGGUGCACGGCCACCGCAUCCGAGGAAAGGCUGAGAGACGACCCCAUUGCCCUACCCAAAUGUCCGGGAAAAACGGAUGUCCGUUUGGGGUCGUGCGCUGAAGUUGGCCUUAGGAACAAGAGGUAGGCAGGAAUGAUCAAGCGUACAACACACAUAAGGGCAUCUCCAGCCGCGCCCCAAGAGGCCACUCAUGCCCCUUUUUAGACGCCGUCGUUACAAAAUCCCCCCCAGUCGGGCCCCCAGGACGUCGUUUUCCGCCAGAUGGUCCAUUUUUCGGGCCGGUGAACCCAGGCCGAACCCAGCACGCUGGGGGCACCUAGGUGCUUUGACAGAAGGAAAAGUUGUGUGUAGGACACUACUGUGAGGCGAGAAAUGCCUUUUCGCCGCUAGAUUCGCCCUCGUGCGCCACGGAACACCUCACCGCCAUGUCGAUCCCGACGCCGCCAACGUGCCCUCAGGUGCUGCCGCGCCGAUUGAAAAUGCCAUUUCCCUGCCAUUUUCGCGGUAGCCUCCAUCCUGCUCUCCCUGGGCGAGCUUUUCAAACCGCUCAGGCAGGGAUACCGGCGACUGCCCACCAACUACGCCAUUCAGGUGUUUGGUGAUUAGCCUGCUCGGUAAUGGACUCAAACGACGAUGACACGUUCAUGGCUCUGAUGGAGGAGAAAGCCGAGGACGACACCACCGACGAAGAGCACAUCAUGAUCCUCGCCGCGCUGGCCGGCCUAUUGCGAAUAAUGCCAAGCCGUGGAGUGGUGUCUCGGUGCCGGGGCGCCGCAAGAGCAAACAAAGACAUCACAUGGAGGUCUAUUACAUGCUCUACAUCGACUACUUCGCCGACAGUCCUAUGCAUGGCGAGAAAUUAUUUCCGCGCCAUUAUCGGAUGGACCCGAAGCUCUUCCUCAGGAUUGUGAAUGUCAUCUAUGAGUUCGACAUCUAUUUCAUUUGCAAGAAGGAUUGCACCAGUACGGUUGGAUUAUCCUCGUUCUUGAAGUACACCACGACUAUGAGGAUCCUUGUGUAUGGAUCUCCCGAUGAUAUACAGUAAUACUAAGGAGCAUGGUCGAGUCGACCACCUUUGAGUGUUUGUAGAAGUUUUGUAGGAUAGUGGUGGCAGUGUUUGGACCAUAAAAUUUGCAAUCACCCAAUGCUGAAGACACUGCUCGGAUCCUAGCGUAGAAUGCAGUAAGAGGAUUUCAUGGGAUGCUUGGAAGCAUCGACUGCAUGCAUUGGGCAUGAAAAAACUAUCCAUUAGCUUGGCAGGGGAUGUACGAAGGCACCAAAAGAGGUUGCAGAGUGGUACUUGAGGUAGUGGCCACAUAGGACCUAUGGAUUUGGCACUCCUUUGGUAUGCUAGGAACUCACAAUGACAUCAACAUACUUCAGUCCUCGAAUGUCUUUGCAAAUCUUGUUGAAGGUCAUGCUCGUUCGGUGAACUUCGAGGUCAAUGGGUGCCACUACAACAAGGGAUACUAUCUAGCAGAUGGUAUCUCCGGGAUUGUCCACAUUUGUGAAGAGUAUCUCAAACCUUGUGCGAGGAGGCAAGAAGUCACACUUUGUUAAGUGUCAGGAGGCUUGCAGGAAGGAUGUCCAGCGAGCAUUUGGUGUGCUCCAAUCUCGAUUUACUAUUGUCCAGUACCCCACUCUUACCUGUGAUACGUCUCCGUCGUAUAUAUAUUUUUUGAUUGUUCCAUGCCAAUAUUAUACAACUUUCACAUAUUUUUUGCAACAUUUUAUAUGAUGUAUUGGACUAACAUAUUGAUCCAGUGCCAAGUGUCAGUUCUUGUUUGUUGCAUAUUUUUUGUUUCGGAGAAUAUCCAUAUCAAACAAAGUGCAACGCGAUAAAAUUUUAAAGAGAAUUAUUUUGAACAUGGAAUCAACGUAAAUGGCGGCCCACGACCUCCACUAGACACCAGGGCGUGCUUGGUCCACCUGGCACAGGGUGGUGUCUACUGGGCACCCCUUAAGUUGGUUGGGGCUCUUCUUAGGGUACAAGAAAUAUAAUUUAUUGAUAAAAGUCCCUCCAAAAUUUCGGCACAACCGGAGUUACGGAUCUUCGAGAAUUUAUGAAACGGUGAAGGACCAUAAAACAGGAACAUGCAACAGAAGAGAACAUAGAGGGAGAUGCAAUCUCGGAGGGGCUCCUUCGCCUCCGCCGCCAUGGAGGCCGUGGACCAGAGGGGGAACUCUCCUCCCAUCUAAGUGGAGGCCAAGGAAGAAGAACAAGGAGGGAGGCUGUCCCCCCUCUCUCCCGGUGGCACCGGAGUGCCGUCGGGGCAAGGAGCGUGACGGAGAUUGACACGUCUCAAACGUACAGACUUUUACAAACACUUUUGCUAUUGUUUUGGCCUCAUUCAUGCAUGAUUUUAAUGAAACUAACCUGAACUGACGCUGUUUUCAGUAGAGCUGCCUAUAUGGUUUUCUUGUGUGCAGGAAAAUGGAUGUUUAGGCGCCCCGGAAAAUUCCAAUAAAAAAUAGAUAAAUCCACGAACCGGGAGGAACCCUGGGUCAGAAGAUGGGCGAGAGGGGGGCCACCAUGCCUCCAGGCGACCUUUGGGCGCGGCCUGCCCCCUGGCCGCGUUGGGAGGCCGCCUGGUGGGGUCCACCUCCUCUGAUGCCCUACUUUGUCUUCUAUUUUUUUCCUGAUGGAGAAAUCCCAGAAGAGAAGUCGUUUUGCAAGUUCUCGACGCGGAGCCGCCGCCACCCUCAGUUCUUUUUCGGGAGAGCUAAUCUAGAGGCUGCCUUGGCCUCCGGAGAGGGGAAAUCGUCGCCAUCAUCAUCACCAUCUUCACUCCAUCACCCUUCCAUGGAUUCCCCCAUCAUGUAUGAGUAAUUCCAUGUUGUAGGUGAAGUGGACGGCAGGAAUUGGAUGAGUUAGAUCAUGUAAUAGUUCGUCGGAUUGUUGGGGGCAUGUUGCCAAUCAUCUACCAUGGUGUUUAUCAUCUUUUCUACUACUUGUUACUCUUAAUGCUUGUCACUUCGGGACCGAGUGCCAUGAUUUCAGAUCUGAAUAUCUUAUGUUUUCAUGAAUAUAUUUGUGUUCUCGAUCCUAUCUAUGAGUAGUAUGCACCUAUUAUAGUCCGGAACAGGCAAUCCCAACGGUGACAUCUUGGGACAAAAAAAGGGAUAGACUAUGAUUUGAGGAUUCCAUGUAUCCAUUGAUUGUUAAUGCUUUGUUCCGGUGCUCUUUGACAGGAGCACCUUAAUCUCCAUAAGUUCCUUUUGGCCCCAUUGGUAGCGGGAUGAUAGGAAAAAACAUGUUGUGCAAGUUCUUAUUGCAAGCACGCACGACUACCUUGGGAUACAUGCCUAAUGAUUGAUAUUUUCCUAGAUGAUCAUUCCUUCUCUAUGUGCCUUGCCCCAUGUUAAAUACAUGAUAUCUCUCAUCCAUGACCAACCAACCAUCUCCGUAGCCUACAUGGUUUUAAUCCCGCUAGUCACUAGUUGCUCUACUUUA